CGCGAGCUGGGUUCAGAACGUCGUGAGACAGUUCGGUCCCUAUCCGUCGCGGGCGCAGGAAAUUUGAGAGGAGCUGUCCUUAGUACGAGAGGACCGGGAUGGACACACCGCUGGUGUACCAGUUGUUCUGCCAAGAGCAUCGCUGGGUAGCUAUGUGUGGCCGGGAUAAGUGCUGAAAGCAUCUAAGCACGAAGCCCCCCUCAAGAUGAGAUUUCCCAUUGCGCAAGCAAGUAAGAUCCCUCAAAGACGAUGAGGUAGAUAGGUUCGGGGUGGAAGCGUGGCGACACGUGCAGCUGACGAAUACUAAUCGAUCGAGGACUUAACCAA
rnacentral:rRNA from 1 species